AUUGAACGCUGGCGGCAGGCCUAACACAUGCAAGUCGAGCGGUAGAGAGAAGCUUGCUUCCCUUGAGAGCGGCGGACGGGUGAGUAAUGCCUAGGAAUCUGCCUGGUAGUGGGGGAUAACGUUCGGAAACGGACGCUAAUACCGCAUACGUCCUACGGGAGAAAGCAGGGGACCUUCGGGCCUUGCGCUAUCAGAUGAGCCUAGGUCGGAUUAGCUAGUUGGUGAGGUAAUGGCUCACCAAGGCGACGAUCCGUAACUGGUCUGAGAGGAUGGUCGGUCACACUGGAACUGAGACACGGUCCAGACUCCUACGGGAGGCAGCAGUGGGGAAUAUUGGACAAUGGGCGAAAGCCUGAUCCAGCCAUGCCGCGUGUGUGAAGAAGGUCUUCGGAUUGUAAAGCACUUUAAGUUGGGAGGAAGGGUUGUAGAUUAAUACUCUGCAAUUUUGACGUUACCGACAGAAUAAGCACCGGCUAACUCUGUGCCAGCCGCCGCAGUAA
rnacentral:rRNA from 1 species